rnacentral:tRNA from 1 species
GCCCGGGUGGCGAAACUGGUAGACGCAAGGGACUUAAAAUCCCUCGGGAUAACAUCCCAUGCCGGUUCGAGUCCGGCCCCGGGCACCA